rnacentral:rRNA from 1 species
GACGAACGCUGGCGGCGUGCUUAACACAUGCAAGUCGAACGGAAAGGCCCCUUUGGGGGUCCUCGAGUGGCGACCGGGUGCGUAACACUUGAGUAACCUGCCCUUUACUUCGUUAUAACUUCAAUAAACUGGGGCUAAUACCGGUUAGGAAUCAUUGCUGCAUCGUGGGGGUUGGAAAGCUCCUGCGGCUUUGGAUGAACUCGCGGGGUAUCAGCUUGUUGGUGGGGUAGUGGGUUACCAACGCUUUGACGGGUAGACGGACUGGGAGGGCGACCGGCCACACUGGGACUGAGGGACGGCCCAGACGCCUACGGGAGGCAGCAGUGGGGAAGAUUGCACAAUGGGCGGAAGGCUGAUGAAGCAACGCCGCGUGCGGGAUGACGGUCUUCGGGUGGUAAAACGCCUUCAGCAGGGGCGAAGCUUGUGGUGACGGUACCUGCAGAAGAAGCACCGGCUAACUACGUG